rnacentral:tRNA from 1 species
GCCUUCGUGGUGUUGUGGUCAGCACACUCGGCGCGUAUUCGAGAGAUCCGGGGUUCGAGUCCCGGCGAAGGUG